AUUGAACGCUGGCGGUAUGCUUAACACAUGCAAGUCGAACGGUAGCAGGCCUUCGGGCGCUGACGAGUAGCGGACGGGUGAGUAACGCGUAGGAAUCUGCCUCAUAGUGGGGGACAACGUGGGGAAACUCACGCUAAUACCGCAUACGCCCUACGGGGAAAGCGGGGGAUCUUCGGACCUCGCGCUAUGAGAUGAGCCUGCGUUAGAUUAGCUAGUUGGUAGGGUAAAGGCCUACCAAGGCGACGAUCUAUAGCUGGUCUGAGAGGACGAUCAGCCACACUGGGACUGAGACACGGCCCAGACUCCUACGGGAGGCAGCAGUGGGGAAUAUUGGACAAUGGGCGCAAGCCUGAUCCAGCAAUACCGCGUGUGUGAAGAAGGCCUUAGGGUUGUAAAGCACUUUCAAUUGGGAGGAAAACCUGUCGGUCAAUACCCGGACAGCUUGACAUUACCUUUAGAGAAGCACCGGCUAACUCCGUGCCAGCAGCCGCGGUAAU
rnacentral:rRNA from 1 species